rnacentral:rRNA from 1 species
AACUUUUUUCUGGUUGACCUCGAAUCAGGUAGGACUACCCGCUGAACUUAAGCAUAUCAUAGGCCGGAGAGAA